rnacentral:misc_RNA from 1 species
GAAAACAGGGGAUAGGAUAGUAUAAGAAAACUUGAUAACAAGAUUUGCUACUUCAGAACUGAUGAUUAUUAUAAUCCUAAUCAACAUCUAAUAUACAUUUGAAGAUAAAGGUGACAGCAAUCUGCAUCACAUGACAAACAACCCUAGCUCAGUAUAUUCUUCCUCUUUUACAAACAGGAUAACUGGAGUAGACAAAUCAGUCAGUCAGCUACGAAAGCGGUCAAGAAGCAGGGCAGGAUACUGCAGAAUCCAUCCAAAUACAGGAAUCUGGAAAAGAAAAACCUUGAUGGAUGGCCAGAAACAACCGAAGAGAAUAAUGCAUCCAUAUAUUUCCACAAUGAUACCCACAACUGGCCAGC